rnacentral:rRNA from 1 species
UACGGGGGGGGGCAAGCGUUGUUCGGAAUUACUGGGCGUAAAGAGCGUGUAGGCGGCCAGACAGGUCAGCUGUGAAAACUCGAGGCUCAACCUCGAGACGUCGGUUGAAACCGUCUGGCUAGAGUCCGGAAGAGGAGAGUGGAAUUCCCGGUGUAGCGGUGAAAUGCGCAGAUAUCGGGAAGAACACCCGUGGCGAAGGCGGCUCUCUGGGACGGUACUGACGCUGAGACGCGAAAGCGUGGGGAGCGAACAGG